UACGGAGGGGGCUAGCGUUGUUCGGAAUUACUGGGCGUAAAGCGCGCGUAGGCGGGUUUGUAUGUCGAUUGUGAAAUCCCCGGGCUCAACCUGGGAACUGCAGUCGAAACUGCAAAUCUUGAAUGUCUGAGAGGAUGGCGGAAUUCCCGGUGUAGCAGUGAAAUGCGCAGAUAUCGGGAGGAACACCAAUGGCGAAGGCAGCUCGCUGGGACGGUACUGACGCUGAGACGCGAAAGCGUGGGGAGCAAACAGG
rnacentral:rRNA from 1 species